GAUGAAUGCCAGACAUGUGUCGUCCCCAAAUACCUACACAACAGGACCUGUGUGAGCGAGUGUCCUGCUGGUUCAUACAACACAAGGCAGGAAGCUGAUGGGCAGGAGCUUGGAUUCUGUUUGCCUUGUGAACAUGUUUGUUCCACCUGCACUGGGGAAUCACCCAGAGAUUGCUUAACUUGGUCUCCAGGACACCUGCGGCUCCUUCAUCUCUGUGUCACUCAAUGUCCCACAGGGUAUUACAAAGACGGAUCCCACUGUGAGAAAUGUGACCAGUCCUGUGAGCUGUGUACAGGACCAGGGCCCGAUUCCUGCAGGGCCUGUCCGCCUCCCCUCCUGGAGCUGCAAGGCACCAAGCUGUGCGUUGAGAGCUGCCCGCACCGCUUCUAUCAGCUCCAUGACAUGUGCGAA